UUCCAAAAGAAGGGAUUCCCGUAUAGAAUUGAAUAUACCCGUAAAAAUCUUCGUAGUAUCUCCAACUUGCUAUAGCUUUUAUGCGGAGCAUCUGAGUCUUGCAAAUGUCAAAUAGCCGGUAUGGCCUCUGGCUUCAGCAGACGGCCUUGCCAUGAUAGCUG